ACUCUUCUCUCUGUCUUUUCCAAAUAUAACAAACAUACAUCUCGAGUGCACACCCUAUACAUACGUACGCGUCUUCUUCCUCACGCACGCUCAAUGACCAAUGCAACCUACAACACCAACAGCUCUUUCCUACAAAAUUCGCCGGAUUUAAAGGUCAUCCAUCUCUCUCAACUCAAUAUGGGAGUAGCUAUAAAUCGGGCACUUGUCUCUAUUGAAAAAGAGAGGGAAGGGGGAUAGGAGAAUUCGAAGAGGUUUCCUUUCUAUACCGUUUUCCAAACUUUAGAAUUGAGAACACCCCUGAAAAGUUUGGGAGUUUUUAGUUCGAAAUCUUAAACUUUCCCUCUUGUUGGCUGUUUCAAGUCGAAUUUGAAGGUGGAAUCAUCUUCUCAACUCGUCGCUCCGGUUGGCUGCCCAGAAUCAGAUAAUUUCCCCCUUUUUCUCUUUAGUUUUCUUCAUUUGAUUCUUUUAGUUAUUAAUCUGGUUGAUUAGUUCGUGUGUUAGCUUUAGCGGUUAACACGAAUAGUCAUGUAGAUUGGCCUGAUUUAGCUUUUUACUUUCAUUAAUGUCUCUGUGGAGAUUUGUUUAGGACAUUUCAAUCCACUUGCUACUCAUUUCUAUUUUUUGUAUCUUGGUAGUUAGAUUUACUUUUGAGUGUUGGAUGUGGUGUUUUAGCUCUUUUUUUCGUAUGAAGUAUGAUUUCGUUUAAGAUACCUAUUUGAACUUGCCUGUUUUACUCUUUUCAGGGCUCUUUUCUUAUGAUUCGGAGUAUAAAAAAUGUGAUUAGAGAUCAUAUUGUUAGGAUCUUGUUGUGUGCCCUGAAUAAAGAUUAUAUUUAGUGAUUUUCGUUGUCCAGUCGCCUAUUAUUUUGUCUAAGUAUGUGUUUUUAUGUUAUUCUUGUUGCUGUUAUGGAAAAUACUGAGUAUCUGGACUCUUUUUUAAUCUUUGCUCUCUUUCUGUUAUUGUUCCGAUCUUAGCUUAGUUCUUUUCUCAUUUAGUAUAAAAAUAUGAUCUUGUUCUACUUUAAACCUAGAUUUUAGAUUAUAGUUUGGCUCGAGUUCUUGGCUGUUUUAAAUUGUAGAUUCGUCUAAGCUAGCCUCAUUUAUUGUUCGAUAAUCUCACCAUGUCGUUCUAUGAAUUAUUUGCUCAGUUUGAAGGUUUGUUCAGUCCCUUCUUUAUUAUCUCUUCUCGAGUCGUGUUGAUUGUUUACUAAACUUGAUGUAUAUUCAAAUACUGCUUGUGGCUCACUGUUCUUGUUAUUAAGUAUGAUGCGCUUUAACGAAGUUUUCUGUGUGCUUGAUUCUACCCCGGCAAGCUUAUCAUUUCUAGUUCAUAUUUUGAAUCUCCUAUCUUAAAUAACUAUAAGUUUUCUUAAUUUCCUUUCAGUCGUUUGUCUACUUAGCAUAAAUUGUUUUAGUCUUUAAGGGAUAUAGUUACUACAUUAAGUUAGACCUUAAUCUGUCUUUAGUUGUUGGUUUUGUUCUCUUAAAUUAUAUGUUGUCAUUAGAUCUUUUCUUAGUUUCAUGCUCCCGAUGAUUUAAUUCAGCUCUUAUUUAGCUCAGUUUUCUCCCCUAGACUGCCUGGAUUUUAAGCUUCCUUGGUCACCAGUUUGUAUAUGAUUUUGUUUAGCUUGAGCUCGUCAUGUUUAUCUUACUCUCCAAUGCUUCACGUUUUCUUUAAUUGCAUACUUAUCCAGUAGUUAUUUUCAGCAUUAAGACACAAUUCGAACUCAUCUUUCUCAAGCAUAAAAUCUGAUAUUAGUCGCAGGUAGUUUGUUGGUUCAAGUUGAUGGUUUCUCUUGGAUUUUACAAUAAGUAUGAGCUAUACUCUUUGUCGAUAACGUUAUGUAUCAUAUAGUACUAAUAUGCAUUUUUUGGUUGCCACUGAUCCAUUCGAAAUUUCGAGUACUGUUUAAUAUGAACAUGGCCACGUCUAAGGAUUUUUUUCUUGUCAUCCCAGUCCCUUUCUCAUCGUCAUUUGAGCUUUUGAAAGCCAAUCAACCUAUCUUAUUCAGUUGCUUAAGUUCUCCAAUGUAUCCAUCAAAUUUAUCUCUAGCUAAUAGUUUUUUUUAUAAGUUUAUUCUCCCUUCUGCUUUGUGUGCUGUAUGCUGGGCAUUUAUAAAGGAAAUAUGUUUCACUGUUUCCUGCGUUUGUUUGCUUAAAAUGACUGAAGUUAUUUUGUAAACUGUUAGGAAUGACAUUUGUUAAAUAUGAUAGGUUCUAAUACUAGUGGCAUUUCAUUUUGUGAUCUAAAUGUCUAACUUUUGCAUCAGUUUGUCUCCUUCCUCGCUAAUUUACUUUUUAUUUGUUUGCUUCUGGGACUGCAUUCUGAGUCAACUGGACUCCCCAUCUCUUGCAUACUCCUCUCCUCGAGUCGACCCCAACAAAGAAAGUUGCGAAAUGAAAGCUAAUAUCAUCAGGUUAAAACCGAAAGCGGUAGUUAGCAGCAGCAGCCAAAAGAGGCUAAAAGGAAGAUUUUUGGACUCUUAAGAGUUGAGAAUAGCUCUACAGGGACAAAGGCAUUCUAGACCCAAAGUCUAAAAUCUUUCGAAUUAUAUUUUACCGCAUCUUAUGCGUUAUUAUUUGUUGAUUACUAACUUUGUUAACUUAGAUGAAUCCUCAGCUUUUUGGGUUUUCAAUGGUUAUUUCACUUUCUCAUUUA